rnacentral:rRNA from 1 species
AUUGAACGCUGGCGGCAGGCUUAACACAUGCAAGUCGAGCGGAGAUGAGGUGCUUGCACCUUAUCUUAGCGGCGGACGGGUGAGUAAUGCUUAGGAAUCUGCCUAUUAGUGGGGGACGACAUUCCGAAAGGAAUGCUAAUACCGCAUACGCCCUACGGGGGAAAGCAGGGGAUCUUCGGACCUUGCGCUAAUAGAUGAGCCUAAGUCGGAUUAGCUAGUUGGUGGGGUAAAGGCCUACCAAGGCGACGAUCUGUAGCGGGUCUGAGAGGAUGAUCCGCCACACUGGGACUGAGACACGGCCCAGACUCCUACGGGAGGCAGCAGUGGGGAAUAUUGGACAAUGGGCGGAAGCCUGAUCCAGCCAUGCCGCGUGUGUGAAGAAGGCCUUUUGGUUGUAAAGCACUUUAAGCGAGGAGGAGGCUACCUGGAUUAAUACUCUAGGAUAGUGGACGUUACUCGCAGAAUAAGCACCGGCUAACUCUGUGCCAGCCGCCGCCGUAA